UUCAAAUCUGGUUCCUGGCA
rnacentral:tRNA from 1 species